rnacentral:lncRNA from 12 species
CCUGGAUGGCCUGAGGCAAAUUAGGCAAACUAUUCCUUUAAACCCCACUUAAAACGUAUGAAUAUCAUCAUAUUAGAUAACAAAAUAUCAAAUCAAAUAGUAUCUGCAAGUAAAUGAUUUUCUAAGAAGUCAGAACUAAUUUCAUCACUUAAACCAUUUUUGCUAAUAUAUUUAAAGAACCUAUUAAAUCAAAAUGCUAAAUUUAAAACCCAACAAAGUUUUCCUUCAAAACAUUGCUAUUAUUUUAACCAAUUUAGACCAAUCACUCACUGUCCCUCCCCCAACCAACCCCAGGGUUACGUUUAUAUUAGAACUUGUUCUCAUUACAUUAAGACGUAUCUGAUGUAAUUCUCUUCUGCCUCUCCGCACACAAAAGCAGCUGCUCUAAAUAAGCCCAGGUCUACUGGAUGAACGCCAGGCUGCUGUCCAGAGUGUCCAGGCGCGCUGAGGUUAGCUGGAGCUGUCCGCGGUGCUGAACCUUCACCGCGCAAUCCGCUUAUAACAGCCCCGUGAGUCGAGCUCUCCCUGCGUUACUGCCGGAGCUCUGCGCGAUUCACCGGGAAAAAACGCGAAUAGCUCAUACGCUUACAAGACCUUACGGACGUUUUAUUUGACACUCGAGUGAUUCUCACGGCAUUGUUUAACACAAGGACAAAUUGUAGUGUUUUCUGAGGAGUCGUUUCAGUAUGUGCGUAAGGAUCGAGCUCCAAAAGAACUGGCUCUUUCUGCUGCUCAUUCUGACUCUUUCAGUGAUUUACACGCAUUGUCAAGAGGAUGGAACUGUACAAACUCGGAGAGGAGGAGAGUCAGAAUCAGAGAAGGAGUUUGACCCUUUCACCAGCAAACAGGAGCCACCAACUGAUGUCCAGCAGCUCACAACAGAUGCGGUACCAAUCCUGCCCAACCUAAGACUGCUCAAACUCCACUCAGCUCUGCUAACCAUGAGCUUUGAGGGAGAUCAGCAGCUUUUUAAAGAGGCAACGCACACCAUGCCAACAGUCUCUACCUCUACAUCUAACACUGAACAUUCACUGGAGCCUGAGGAGGAUGCAGCAGUCUUCACUGACCUUGCGACCACAUUGACCAUGACUGCGGCAACAUCUGUGGAACAAAGAAUGCCCAGCAAAAAUAGUAGUAGAACAUCAGAGAAGAUGGUAGUCACCUCUCAACCCCUCACAAACCCAACCAUUCCAAUAAGCACUACCACAAGCACAGGUCAAAACACAACAACAAAGAAAUCCUUUGACAAGCAAAGCACUUUGCCACCACUGACUCUGUCAACUUCACCUAAGAAAGAACCACGGAGGCCAGAGGGGAAAACCACACCAGGAUAUUCCUCUGAGACAUCCCCAGGUACAGUACAAAGAGAACAUUAA